CUCUUUGCUAUUCGUGCAUUUUAAAACUCCUCGUGCUCUGUGCUUGUGACCUGGGAUUAGGUGAGAGUUGUUUCUGGUACCUACUGGUGGUAGGGAAUUCAAAUUUGAAUUUGGAUUAAAGGUUUUAGGGUUUAUACUUCGGUAUAUGCGCGAUAUACGGAUUAAUUAGAGAGCGGGUGGGUUCCGUCGCGAAUCCGUGACCAAAUCUGACAAAACAAGAUGGUAGUUUGGAUGCCCUCGUUGUGCUGAACGUGAUGGUGCGAUCCGUUCGGAAAUCCGAUGAACGGAUUGUCGGAUAUUGCAUGUUGUUCGCUAAGGGGUCGAAGGUGGCAAAUCGGAAACUUCGCAAAAGUCAUUGUAUUUUAUGUACCGAAUCGCUUGAGAUCGAAUGUGGAGGUGCGUAUGUG
rnacentral:lncRNA from 1 species